GUCUAUGGCCAUACCACCCUGAACGCGCCCGAUCUCAUCUGAUCUCAGAAGCUAAGCAGGGUCGGGCCUGGUUAGUACUUGGAUGAGAGACACUUUCCAUACCUCAAGAAAUAUCUUCUGGGCAUCACCAUCU
rnacentral:rRNA from 1 species